rnacentral:lncRNA from 1 species
UCCAAUACAUUGUGGCUGAAUCCACUUCAAGUUGGGGUUUUUUUGGGGGUUUUUUUUGGUUGGGUUUUUUUUUUUUUUUUUGCCUCUCACAAAGGAGAAUCCCAGAUACCUAGAGGCCAGAGGUCCAGGGCGAUGGGUGGGCUGUGUCGGGGCCCGGCCCAGCCUGGCCUUCCGACAGCAUCCAGGCAGGCCCUCUUUCCCUCCACCGUCUUGGAUGGGCUUAAUUUAUUGUAGGAAACCCUUGAAGGCGCAGGAGCUUUUGGAGAGCCGGGGACAAUAGGCAUAAAGCAUGCAUUUAAGCCGUCUGAAUGGAGGCUAGAUUUACUGUCUGGGCCAGACGGGAUUUUUGUCCCCAAGUCAUCUCGGAGUACAUUGGCCACUAAAGAUCUCAACAGAAGACGAAGACGGAACAAAAGAAGUAAAUUUUAAAAGGAACUUUGUCAAGGAGUUUUAGAUGUUCACCAGAUAGAAAACCGCGGCUGCCCUCACCGAAAUGACUUUUGGAUUUGCCCAGUGGUUAUGGAUCAGAGGAAGAUGCUAAUGAAGUCGUUUAAAUGCACGUUUGAUGGACCCCAGAGAAUGGGACCAAUUUCAUACAAGCCCACAGCAAGGUUAAGGAAUGAAAGAAGGUGGCCGUUAGAGUUGCUGCCGGGGACAAGGCUCCAUUGUCGGGGCUGCCUUUUUCAGCCGUGAAGCGUGAAGCGUGUUUUGAACUACAGUGUUUACCAACGUGUACAUCCUAGUCUGGCCGACCGGGCCUGCAGAAUUUAUGACCAGGAACAAACCUCUUAGAGGGGAAAAGAAAACAGCUCUUACCAGCUGGGAAAGGAGCUCAGAUCAUGCCCUGGAGAAGCAGGUGACAUCGCGGAAUUUUCCUGUUCCAGAUGCCAGAAGUCUGAAAUGAAGGUGUAAAGCAGGGUGGUUCCUUCUGGAGGCUCUGAGAGAAUCACCCCAGGCCUCUCUCCAGCUUCUGGUGCUGGUAUUCUCAGGCUUGUAGGCGCAUCACCCAUGUCUGCCUCCAUCUUCACAUGGCCUUCUCCUCUGUGUCUGCCUGAAGUCUCCCUUCAUUUCUCUUGUAAGGACAUCAGUCAUUGGAUUUAGAGCCCACCCUAAACCCAGAAUGAUCUCAUCUCAAGAUUACAUCUGCACAGACGCUAUUUCCAGAUAAGGUCACAGUCAAAGGUACCAGGGGUUAGGAUAUGAACAUAUCUUUUUGAAAGACACGAUUUAACCUACAGCAGGUGCUCAGGGCAGUUGGGUGGGGGCCUGUGCUAGGGGCCCAACAGCCAAGGCUUAAAGCCGCACUCCACACCUAGGCCUGUGACACCUCCCACAAGCUUCUUCACCUCUCAAGCCUCAACUUCUACUUCUGCAAACAGGGAACAAUAAAAGUAUCUCCCUGCCCCCACCUUGCAGGGUUUCCAGUUCCAAUGUCUACACACUCACCUGGGAGUUAUCUGAAAUUGUUGUUCACCUGCUUAAACCUUUUGAGUUUCCAGCACCCCCCAGAAGUCCCCACCCUCUAGUCCCUUAGCAAGAUACUGGCCCUGCGUGAGCUUCCCACCUUCCUUGACAGCUGCAUCUCUCAUCAUUAGGACCUGGGCAACACUGCAGAAUAUGGCAGGUCUUCCCUCAUCUCUGUGCUUUGCCUCCAUUCCCUGACUUCUCUCCCAUCCUCCUCCUGUCACCUGGCCUCUCCCCAUCCUACUGGCCUUAAAGCUCAGCUCCUGAAGCCUCCCUGAUGCUCCUCCCUUCAUAGCCCCUCCCAGCCUGGCCACGUGGGCUCGGGCAGCCCAGAGCCUGGGCCUCCUGGUCACACUCUGAGCACACAGCCCAUUUUCUCUCCAGUGCUGGCUUGUGUUUGACACCAUGCCUGACACAUUGGGGGUGCUCAGUAGACCUGUGUGAGAUGGACAGCCUCCCGUACAGAUGGACGGACAGAUGUACAGCAGUGGGAACCUGAGACGUGUCCACAAGCAUGCAUGGGAGCUUGGAAGUGGAUCCUUCAGCCCCAGCCAAGCCUUCAGACGAUGCAGCCUCAGGGACAGUAUGACUGCAGCCUCAUGAGACCCUGAGCCAGAAACACCCCUCCAAGCCACUCCCAGAUGCCUGGCCCUCAGAACCUGGGAGGUAAUAAAUAUUUAUGGCUGUUUGAAGCUGCUGUAUCGGGGGACAAUUUGUUACACAGUAAUAGCUAACUGGUGCAGUCCUGGGACUCUUAGCAGUUUGGAGUAUCAGUUAUUUUGCCAAGGCGGGGAAGUUAACAGUGGUCAUUGCAGCAGCUGCACUUGGGGACCACAAUAAAGAAGCUUUCUCAGACUGGUUUGAACAAAGUGGUGAAUUCUCUGCAAGGACACAGAGGUGUCUCUCAAAACCCAAGGAUGGGACAGCAGGCCUCAAGAAGAACUGGAACCUCUGUCCCUUCUGUGCUUCUUUUUACUCCUGUGUUCUCUGCUUCUUGGAGCACUUGGCAGUUGGGAAGUGGCCAUUUCAAUUCUCGUGGUCAAGAAACCAGCUCAGAAAUAACCCAACCAACACAGGUGGGGUCAGGUGUCCAUCCUGGCUCCAUUUGUCAUGGCGGGAGAUGGUGAUGAAGAGAAACAUCCAGGACCAUUGGUAGGGCACCCGAAUGAGAUUCCAGGAGAGGCCAGUUCUAAGAGAAGGGUACUAGAAAGAUACCCAUUGAAGUCAAUACCACAUGUGGCACAUCCUCCUUUCAGGUGGCAAGUGUGUAGCCAAAGCAAGGUUCAGGGUCCAUAUUUGAAAGUCAGAAACUGAAUAAACUGUUUUCUCCCACCCCGAGCACUGUGGGGAACUCUGCUCACAAAUCCACCAUCCACCAUCACCAGCCGUGCUCAUCUGACCAUUCAUGCAGGCUCACACUUGACCUGAUGUGGGUUCUGUCUCCUUUGCUUGAGAAUUGAAAGGCCUGGGAGAUGCAAAAGCUUUAGGCUCCAGCCAUCUCCCCAUGUCAGGUAGGCCUUUUGCCUAGUGUAUCCAGUUGGUAAUGCUGCAGAGAUGCAUGAAGCUGGAGUCAGAGGCCACCUGUAGUGCUGCCCUGACUUCAGACCUGAGCCCAGCCCAGCAGCAGAGAGGGGGCUGGGAGCCAGAGGAGGCCUCACAGUAACAGCACAGACAGGUGGGGGCCCACAACAGGCCACAUGUGUUCAAACUCGAGUGUGGGCAGAGGAGCAUGGGAAGCUCAGAGCCCUGAGCUCACCCCACACCCAACACGAGUGGGGUCACCCAAAAUCAGCCUGUCAGCACUGUCCCAGCAGCCAGUCGCAUGCUACAUUAACAAAUUUUGCACAGGCCAGCAAGCAGGAUCGCUCACCAGCCACCCUCCUGAACUGGCCUAUGGGGCCCCAGGAUGAUGCCAUAGCCACAAGUCUGGAGUUCCUCAAAGUACCUGGUCAGCACAACUCAGUUAAACAAUGGGCAAAAGACCUGAACAGACACUUCGCCAGAGAAGAUGUACAGAUGCAAGUAAGCAUUUGAAAAGGUGCCCCACAUCGUAUGUCGUUAGGGAAUGGUCCAAUCCAGAACACUGAUGGCACCAAAGGCUGCUGAGCAUGUGGAGCAGCAGAACUCUCAUUCACUGCUGGUGAGAAAAAUGGCGCAGCCCCAAUAGGGAACCCUAAUGCAGACUCUGGACUUCACUGGAAAUGACGUGUCAGUGUAGCUGCGUCAGUUGUAACAAAUGCACCAGUCUGGUGGGCGUGUUGAUAACCGGGGCUGCGCACGUGGGGAGAGAGGACCUGUGGGAAUGCUCUACUUUCCACUCAUUUUUGCUGUGAACUUAAAACUGCUCUUACAAAAUAACAUUGUUUGUUGUUGUUGUUGUUGUUGUUGUUGUUGUUGUUUUUAAGUAUCUAGUCAGCUCCACACAUGACCCGGGCAGAGUGGGAAGUUGUAGAGUGCCCCAAGGAGAGAAAUGGAACCAGGUCUCAUGUGGGGCCAAGUGUGGGCUCCCUGUCCUCUCAGCUGGUCCCAGGAACUGAAGGGAAAUUUAGACAACUUGGAGAAAGACACUCUAGGGCUCGGGGCAAAGGGUGGUGUUGAUGAGAACCAUAUUUUUUUAUUGCUGGUGUAAGCACUUGUAUUUUUCUGAUUUUCCACUGGUUCGAUAAUAAGGGUAAAAGACAAUAAAGCAUACUUUUUAAGCUUU